UGGAUGUCUAGGGUCUGAAGGCCAGG
rnacentral:piRNA from 1 species